rnacentral:rRNA from 1 species
CCUACGGGAGGCAGCAGUAGGGAAUAUUGCGCAAUGGGCGAAAGCCUGACGCAGCAACACCGCGUGAAUGAUAAGGGCUUUGGGGUGUAAAGAUCUGUUAAGCGGGAAGAAAGGUGACUGUACCUAUAAAGGAAGGAAUGGCUACCUCCGUGACAGCAGCCGCGGUAAUACGGGGGGUGCAAGCGUGGGCCGGAAUGAUUGGGCGUAAAGCGUUCGUAGGCGGCAAGGUAAGUCUGAUGUUAAAGCCCGGGGCUCAACUCCGGUUCGGCAUGUGAUACUAUCUAGCUAGAUUGUGGUAGAGGUAAGUGGAAUUCCUGGUGUAGCGGUGAAAUGCGUAGAUAUCAGGAGGAACCUCGGUGGCGAACGCGCUUUACUGGACCAUUAUUGACGCUGAGGAACGACAGCCUGGGUAGCAAAUAGGAUUAGAUACCCCUGUAGUC